UACAGAGGUCCCAAGCGUUGUUCGGAUUCACUGGGCGUAAAGGGUGCGUAGGCGGUCGGGUAAGUCUGAUGUGAAAUCUCACAGCUUAACUGUGAAACUGCAUUGGAUACUAUCCGGCUUGAGAGUUGGAGGGGGGACGUGGAAUUCUUGGUGUAGCAGUGAAAUGCGUAGAUAUCAAGAGGAACACCAGUGGCGAAGGCGAGUCCCUGGACAACUUCUGACGCUGAGGCACGAAAGCUAGGGGGAGCAAACAGG
rnacentral:rRNA from 1 species